rnacentral:lncRNA from 1 species
AAACAACCAUAAAACAUAUAUGUCUCUUCUCUCACAAAUAAACUCCUUCAUUUUUCCAAACUUCACAUUUCAUAGAUCAAUACUAACAACUUCUAUAACAUCAUAAAACCAUAUUUCUUCUCCAUUUAACACCAUUUUCUUCAUGAUACAAACCAUUCAUGUAAAAGCAACUUACACCAUAAACUCAUCACACCAACUCAACUUCUCUCCACUUCCAUAAAACAACCACAACCAUUAACCUUUUCUUCAUACAUAACACGUCAAAUAUUAACCACAUCUCUUUACCCAUCAACAACCAUGAAAAAGGGAAAUGGAAAAUGUUGAGAAAAAGUGAUAAGUUUGAAGAGGAUCUUUCUCCAUUAAUCUUUAUUUUUUUAGACAACCAACAUCAACACACUUCCGAUGAACCUUCCUUUCCGGUUCCUUCGCCUUUGUUUCAGUUUUGACGAUGCUCCUAGCUCCGACGCGAUUGUCG